rnacentral:rRNA from 1 species
AACGAACGCUGGCGGCAUGCCUAACACAUGCAAGUCGAACGAGACCUUCGGGUCUAGUGGCGCACGGGUGCGUAACGCGUGGGAACCUGCCCUUAGGUUCGGAAUAACUCUCCGAAAGGGGUGCUAAUACCGGAUAAUGUCUUCGGACCAAAGAUUUAUCGCCUUUGGAUGGGCCCGCGUUGGAUUAGCUAGUUGGCAGGGUAAAAGCCUACCAAGGCGACGAUCCGUAGCUGGUCUGAGAGGAUGAUCAGCCACACUGGGACUGAGACACGGCCCAGACUCCUACGGGAGGAAGCAGUGGGGAAUAUUGGACAAUGGGCGCAAGCCUGAUCCAGCCAUACCGCGUGGGUGAAGAAGGCCUUCGGGUUGUAAAGCCCUUUUGUUGGGAAAGAAAAGCAGAAGGUUAAUACCCCGCUGUUCUGACGGUACCCAAAGAAUAAGCACCGGCUAACUUCGUG